rnacentral:tRNA from 1 species
GGAACAUAGUUCAGUGGUAGAAUACAUGCUUAGCAUGCACAGUGUCCUGGGUUCAAUCCCCAGUACCUCCA